UACGUAGGGUGCAAGCGUUAAUCGGAAUUACUGGGCGUAAAGCGUGCGCAGGCGGAUAUAUAAGUCAGAUGUGAAAUCCCCCGGCUCAACCUGGGAACAGCAUUUGAGACUGUAUAGCUAGAGUACGGUAGAGGGGGAUGGAAUUCCGCGUGUAGCAGUGAAAUGCGUAGAUAUGCGGAGGAACACCGAUGGCGAAGGCAAUCCCCUGGACCUGUACUGACGCUCAUGCACGAAAGCGUGGGGAGCAAACAGGAGUAGAUACCCUGGGAGUCCACGCCCUAAACGAUGUCAACUGGUUGUUGGGUCUUAACUGACUCAGUAACGAAGCGAACGCGAGAAGUUGACCGCCUGGGGAGUACGGCCGCAAGGUUG
rnacentral:rRNA from 1 species